rnacentral:rRNA from 1 species
GGGUCAGUAGGUUGGUCGUGCCACCGGUACGUACUGGUCUCACUGAUUCCUCCUUCCUGAAGAACCGUAAUGCCAUUAAUUUGGUGUUGCGGGGAAACAGGACUGUUACUUUGAAAAAAUUAGAGUGUUUAAAGCAAGCUAACGCUUGAAUACAUUAGCAUGGAAUAAUGAAAUAGGACGAUCGAUCCUAUUUCUUUGGUUUCUAGGAUUGACGUA